GGCCUACUGGUUCUUACUAAAGUCUGUUCUCUUUACACUGACUCCUACAAAGAGGCAUAGCAAACCCAACUCCUGUACACCUCAGCCUGGUAUGCACUGUAAAUAGGGGGACAUAG
rnacentral:snoRNA from 1 species